UUGUUCGAGAUCAAAGAAGGUCAGAUUUGUCAGGCUAGCCCAUGGGCGGCGACCAUUUUUCGGGCAGUAGUCUUAGGGAGAAAGUAAAGCUGUUUAUCGACAAAUCGUCGAUUAAAAUUUCCUUCAAAAGAAGCCAUAAAACGGUGAAAUAUCCUCGUCCAAAGGAUUAUCUGCUACGAACGCAUCCAAGUAUUCUUAGAACUCAAAGCUUUCGAUUAGUCGGUGGAACGUGAUGCGCGGGAAUCGAGAAUGCUCGGCGUUCGUGUUUUAUCCGUGGCUAGAGUAAAAGCAUGCGGAUCCUUUGACACGUAUAUAAGAAGAAGAAGAAGACGAAGAAUCGACUGAUUCAUGGCGGUGUUUCUGAUUGCCUAUUCCUCUUUGUUCCCUUAAAUAUUCAAAAUACCGUCGUUGUCUUGUGUUUUGAGCACAACGAGUUUUCCCCAUACAAAGGCCGAUCAAGGCUUCCGCCUUUCCCUCGUAUGAUUUUCGGUGACUAUUGUUAUGCCACGCGUGCAGCUUGCGCCGAUCUUUAGGUUUACCCACAAACAUUCGAUUAACCCCGCUGCUUCGGCCGCGUGCUCAUUAAAAUGUCUCUUUGUUCGCCGGGAGAACAAAGCCGCGAUCCAUUCGCGACGUCGAUCUUCGGUUUUCUACUCCUUUGUGUCGUCGAUGGUAAACGUUGCCGUAAGCGAGGUCAUCGAUUCUUCUUACUACGUGAUUGACACGAUUCACCGAGAAUUGUCUUUAAUCUGUUAACCAGGUUGUGUACUAAUCAGAAGCCUGUGUAAUUAAAAAAUUAAAAAUUAAUAAAAAUAUAUAGAUUCCACUUAGGUAGGUUUAAUGUGAUGUGAAGACCAGAUAAAAAAAUGAUCUUAAAUUCAUUUUUAUUUGAUUUUCUGUUUACCUCGAACGCUUUUAUCAGAGGUGGUCUACAAGGGACAAUUCAACAUCAAAGAAUUUCCACCUGCGAUAAAUAAAGCUAAUUCCAUUAAAAUGACAUUCAUCUAGAAUUAGUUAGAUUAGUCCUAUUGUAGUAGGUGGUUUACGAUGUCUUCAUAAAAAUUGUUUUUUUCGAUGGAGUGAGGACCUGGAAACAAUUAAAAGACUAUUUUAACGUUCUUUAUAAGCAACUCGUAUGUCUAUGAAUCACACUUUGUUGACACACUGCGCCUUUUGCCUGGAAAACUUUUCACCACAGCAGUCAUAUAUCUAUUAGGAUUUGUAUAUACCGACGAUACGCCUUAAGGAAUCGAUAAUGGUUUUACGUCCUCAGCUGGUCAAAGGGCUACUUUCGCCCUGUUAAACUGUCGCACGUGGGACUACUUCUUAAAGGCGCAAUACAUGAUCAUAAAUCACAAUGUCUGCUUCAUGGAGCUUAGUUCGAGACAUACCUAUUCGAACGACAAUACCAAUAGCAUUCUUAUUUAUACACGGAAUUUGCAGAAAGGUUACGAAACGCGUGAAGAUUGGUAACCAUUUAUUCUUAUUUUAAAACUGAACGUUUUUUUAUUUUUUGACAUCUGUAAUGGAGAAUGUAACAGGUUUCGAAAAGAUAAAACUAGACCUGUAGCUACGUUCUAGAAGAAGAUUUUCAUUUUUUCUUUUUUAUUAAAUAAGUAUUUUAGAAAUAACAUUUCUCAAGUUAUGAUUCGUAUAA